rnacentral:rRNA from 1 species
UGGGGAAUAUUGGACAAUGGGCGAAAGCCUGAUCCAGCCAUGCCGCGUGUGUGAAGAAGGUCUUCGGAUUGUAAAGCACUUUAAGUUGGGAGGAAGGGCAUUAACCUAAUACGUUAGUGUUUUGACGUUACGGACAGAAUAAGCACCGGCUAACUCUGUGCCAGCAGCCGCGGAACUACAGAGGGUGGAAGCGUUAAUCGGAAUUACUGGGCGUAAAGCGCGCGUAGGUGGUUUGUUAAGUUGGAUGUGAAAUCCCCGGGCUCAACCUGGGAACUGCAUUCAAAACUGACUGACUAGAGUAUGGUAGAGGGUGGUGGAAUUUCCUGUGUAGCGGUGAAAUGCGUAGAUAUAGGAAGGAACACCAGUGGCGAAGGCGACCACCUGGACUAAUACUGACACUGAGGUGCGAAAGCGUGGGGAGCAAACA